rnacentral:rRNA from 1 species
GAAUUUUCCGCAAUGGGCGAAAGCCUGACGGAGCAAUCUCGCGUGAGGGAUGACGGCCUAUGGGUUGUAAACCUCUUUUUUCAGGGAGGAAUAAAUGACGUGUACCUGAAGAAUAAGCAUCGGCUAACUCCGUGCCAGCAGCCGCGGUAAGACGGAGGAUGCAAGUGUUAUCCGGAAUCACUGGGCGUAAAGCGUCUGUAGGUGGCUUAAUAAGUCAACUGUUAAAUCUUGAAGCUCAACUUCAAAAUCGCAGUCGAAACUAUUAAACUAGAGUGUAGUAGGGGUAAAGGGAAUUUCCAGUGGAGUGGUGAAAUGCGUAGAGAUUGGAAAGAACACCGAUGGCGAAGGCACUUUACUGGGCUAUUACUGACACUCAGAGACGAAAGCUAGGGUAGCAAAUGGGAUUAGAUACCCCAGUAG